rnacentral:misc_RNA from 1 species
GAUGAAGAACGUAGCGAAAUGCGAUAAUUAAUGUGAAUUGCAGAAUUCCGUGAAUCAUCGAGUCUUUGAACGCACAUUGCGCCUCAUGGCAUUCCGUGAGGCAUGCCCAUCUCAGCGUUAGAAAAUAUUCUCAAAUUUUAGUUUUGUGCUAAAAUUUGGAUCAUGUCAAGGAAGCUAUUACUAUUAUUGUGAUCGCUCUUUGGAAAUUGAUAGGUCUUUGAGUUGCUACUCAUAGAACGUGAUGAAUCUUUCUUCGUUCUAUUGUAAUUCACUCUGGUAGUCCUAAAACUUGUAUGCCUGUGGCAUAUCUUGUAAUUUGACCUGAGAUUGGGUAGGGAUACCCGCUGAACUUAAGCAUAUCAUAAGCGGAGGA